UCAAUUCCGUAGUGCAUUGCAGUUGAUUUAAGGAAUUACUGCAAGCGCUGCAGAAUUGGCA
rnacentral:pre_miRNA from 1 species